rnacentral:rRNA from 1 species
UACGUAGGUGGCAAGCGUUGUCCGGAAUUAUUGGGCGUAAAGCGCGCGCAGGGGGUUUCUUAAGUCUGAUGUGAAAGCCCACGGCUCAACCGUGGAGGGUCAUUGGAAACUGGGGAACUUGAGUGCAGAAGAGGAAAGUGGAAUUCCAAGUGUAGCGGUGAGAUGCGUAGAGAUUUGGAGGAACACCAGUGGCGAAGGCGACUUUCUGGUCUGUAACUGACACUGAGGCGCGAAAGCGUGGGGAGCGAACAGG